AUUUAUAUACACAUUCAAAUGUAAAAUAUUAAUAUCGAUAGCGAUUGUGCACAAAAAUAUCGAUAGCUUCAUGACGCUUAAAGUGGUGUCUGUCAUUCACAUGUGAACGUUGCAUCUAGUUCUUUAGCCUUUAGUUCUUUAUUCACCGCGCCAGCUGUUUCAUAUUAAUAAACAAGAACGAACGACAGCUAAGCAUUGUCGCGCAAUCUGGAAAAUAAAUAUACAUAUGUACAUAUAAAUAUAUAUCACAUAGGAAUUAAAAAAAAAAACCUUUAAAAGACGUAGAUGUAAUUUCCUACAAGUUAGUAACCAAUCCAAAGUGGAAGCGCAGGCAUACAUAUGUCGCUUUAGUGACCCAACUUAGUGAUUUACAGUGUAAUCUUGGGUGUUUCUUCUGUUGCGAAGAGUGACAAGGUUUGAAAAGGUUUUGCUCAGAACUAUGGCUGAAAAUAAUGUUAUACAAAAAUCAAAUGUUGGUGUAAUAAAUAAAAGUUUAACACAAAAGCGAGGAAAUGGCGCGAAAUGUAUAAUAGAAACAUGUGGUGCGAGCUAUAGGAAAUGCGCCGACAAUAAUCGGGUUCAUUUAUUUUCGUUUCCCUCAAAAACUUCUCAUCUAAACAAGUGGAUCAAAAGAUGCAAUUUACCGAAUAAUCUUAACUUUAAAAGGGCCAAAAUAUGUAGCAGGCAUUUCGAACAGGAAUAUAUUGGUAAACGCAACCUAAGAGCUAAUGCAGUUCCGACCUUACAUUUGAGCAAUUCAAACUUAUCCUGUGAGAUUGUUGACUUUAAAGGUAACAUAAGAGCUAAUGAAGUCCCGCCCUUACAUUGGAACAAUCCAAACUUAUCCUGUGAGACUGUUGACUUUAGCGAUACGACUUAUUUAGGAGAAACGGUCGAAGAUGAACAUAAACAGGAAGAAAAGCAAGAGGAAGUGAAAGAGCCACUGCAGAUUAAAAAUAUUCAGAAUCAAUAUGACGAUGAAGAAUCUUUAGAUAAUUUUUUGAGCUUUAAAAAUAAGACAAAACAUCAAUUGUGGCAGGAUUUAGUAGAUAUUGAUAGUUCAACCUAUUGUUUAAAUUGUAUAAAUAGAGAGGAAAAUGAGGUAUAUUAUAGAAGAAAAUAUUAUAAUAUCGGAAUAGAACUCACAAGAGUACAGGAAAAGUAUAUUAGCUUAAAAGAAAAGUUUCUUGCUUUAAAGCAGGCGUCUAGAGACAUAUCCAAUCACUGAAAACUAGGAAUCGAUAAAAUAAUUCAAAGUAUUUAUCAUUGCUAGGUGCUAUCUGUGGCCUCCAUUUGGCUUGUUCAACUGCACAACAAACGCAAAUGCUGGACUUCUGCUGGCCGAAACGCUUGGAAAAACUUGCUGGGCUGUGUGGCAGUAAUUAUGCCGGCAGCUCAAUGCCUCUUGUCAAAGGGAUGAGGAGAAAAACACCUGCGGCGGCGCUUCGUGCUCUAAGAAAAAACAGAAAGAGAUCAUAUACAAAGAUUCCUUAAUCUUUCUGAAAGGUACUCAGUCUUCCGCACAAUGGUUACUGCCAGCAUAUCCGAAGCCGAGUGAGCUGAUCAAGCGAAAGGAUAAACUCAUCCAGGACACCGCAUCGGCGCCCAUGAAGGAAUCUGAAAGAUCUUCAAAAUUUGAUGAUAUUCUCAUUGAGCCACCGCUUGAGGAAUAUGGCGGUAGAUUUACAUAUAUUCUAUAUUUAUAGACAAUAUAGGCGAUCAUUAGCGUUGGAUCAGGGUCGAAUUUAUUGAAAAAAGCCCAUCGAAUUGGCUAUCACCUCUUCACCUCUUUUAAUUUGAUUUAAAUCAUCCUGAUCGCUAUCCUCGACGCGAACUUUGAUUAGCGUAGUGGUCACUGCAAAAAUGUUCUUUCAUUAUGUAGAGCUGUUCUAUAAAUAGCGAAGCCUGUUCAGUUAUUCAGUCAUUGAUAAGCAACAGAAGAACUUCAAUGAUUAUUAAAAUUAUUCAUUAAUUUAUAAGCAUUGAAUUUAAAUGUAAAACAUCUUAGCAACAAAAGAUAAAAAGAAAACAUGAAAUUUUUAUUCUAUGUAAUUUCGAGUUCCUAAUUAAGAAUUUGAUUAUAUAUGAAUUGUAUUUAUUUCAGUUAUUUUGUUAAAUAUUUUUUUAUAUAUUGAAAAUAAAGAUAUAGUUCCCUAAAAAUGUAAGUAGCAAGCAGAAGAAGGCGUUGCAGAUCAUAUAAAGUAUAUAAAGUAAACAAGUUACCAUUAAUUUUAAUUUUAAAUGUGUGUAUAUGUGGACGCACGAAAAAUAUCGAUUAAUCGAAAAUCGAAUGAACGUCACAGCUGUUGUAUUCGCCGUGUCAGCUGUUUCUUAGUUAUAAAGUAUAGCGGCGACAUCUAAACACGGACGAUCCGGACAAUAAAUAUACAUAUAUUUUGCAUACGCAGAUCAAAUGGACCCGUUUUUGAAGACUCAUCAGUUAUAUGUCAUAAAGUCAUACAAGUGAGAAACCAAUUCAAAGUAUUAAGAAGCGUCUAUGUCACUUAAGUUGACGGUCAACCACGCAACUGAGCGGUUUAUCGGGUGAUAUUUAAGUGAUUUUACUGUUGCAAAAAGCGACGAAAUUUGAAUAGGAUUUAUAUAUUUUUUUAACUAUGGCUGGUAUUGGACUGAAGAAUAAAGGUAAAAAGGAUUCACGAAGAGGUAGUGAGAAAUGUAUAAUAGAAAAUUGUGAUGCUAGCUAUAGGAAAAGUACUGAAAAUAAUCCGAUUAAACUAUUUAGCUUUCCCUCAAAAGCUUCUCAUUUAAACAAGUGGAUUAAAAUAUGCCAUUUGCCGAAUAAUCGUGACUUUAAAAGGGCCAAAAUAUGUAGCAGGCAUUUCGAACAGGAAUGUAUUGGUAAACGUAACUUAAGAGCUAAUGCAGUUCCAACCUUACAUUUGAACAAUCCAAACUUAUCCUGUGAGAUUGUUGACUUUAAACGUAACUUAAGAGCUAAUGAAGUCCCACCCUUACAUUGGAACGAUCCAAACUUAUCCUGUGAGACUGUUGACUUUAGCGAUACGACUUAUUUAGGAGAAACGGUCGAAGAUGAACAUAAACAGGAAGAAAAGCAAGAGGAAGUGAAAGAGCCACUGCAGAUUAAAAAUAUUCAGAAUCAAUAUGACGAUGAAGAAUCUUUAGAUAAUUUUUUGAGCUUUAAAAAUAAGACAAAACAUCAAUUGUGGCAAGAUUUAGUAGAUAUUGAUAGUUCAUCCUAUUGCUUAAAUUGUAUAAAUAGAGAGGAAAAUGAGGUAUAUUAUAGAAGAAAAUAUUAUAAUAUCGGAAUAGAACUCACAAGAGUACAGGAAAAGUAUAUUAGCUUAAAAGAAAAGUUUCUUGCUUUAAAGCAGGCGACUAGAGACAUAUCUAUGCAUUGAAAACUAGGAAUCGUUAAAAUAAUUUAAAGUAUUUAUCAUUGCUAGGUGCUAUCUGUGGCCUCCAUUUGGCUUGUUCAACUGCACAACAAACGCAAAUGCUGGACUUCUGCUGGCCGAAACGCUUGGAAAAACUUGCUGGGCUGUGUGGCAGUAAUUAUGCCGGCAGCUCAAUGCCUCUGGUCAAAGGGAUGAGGAGAAAAACACCUGCGGCGGCGCUUCGUGCUCUAAGAAAAAACAGAAAGAGAUCAUAUACAAAGAUUCCUUAAUCUUUCUGAAAGGUACUCAGUCUUCCGCACAAUGGUUACUGCCAGCAUAUCCGAAGCCGAGUGAGCUGAUCAAGCGAAAGGAUAAACUCAUCCAGGACACCGCAUCGGCGCCCAUGAAGGAAUCUGAAAGAUCUUCAAAAUUUGAUGAUAUUCUCAUUGAGCCACCGCUUGAGGAAUAUGGCGGUAGAUUUACAUAUAUUCUAUAUUUAUAGACAAUAUAGGCGAUCAUUAGUGUUGGAUCAGGGUCGAAUUUAUUGAAAAAAGCCCAUCGAAUUGGCUAUCACCUCUUCACCUCUUUUAAUUUGAUUUAAAUCAUCCUGAUCGUUAUCCUCGACGCGAACUUUGAUUAGCGUAGUGGUCACUGAAAAAAUGUUCUUUCAUUAUGUAGAGCUGUUCUAUAAAUAGCGAAGCCUGUUCAGUUAUUCAGUCAUUGAUAAGCAACAGAAGAACUUCAAUUAUUAUUAAAAUUAUUCAUUAAUUUAUAAGCAUUGAAUUUAAAUGUAAAACAUCUUAGCAACAAAAGAUAAAAAGAAAACAUGAAAUUUUUAUUCUAUGUAAUUUCGAGUUCCUAAUUAAGAAUUUGAUUAUAUAUGAAUUGUAUUUAUUUCAGUUA